AAUGUUCACAGUGUUCCUACCUGAAUUUCAUGGGGUGGCAGAUGCAGUUCUCUAUCCGUGGCAGCAGCAGUGAAGUGCCUCGCUCUCCUGUCACCUUGGAUCUUUCCCUCGCGCGCUCUCUAACACACAUCAUUUUCAUGGGCUAUAGCGCCGCUCAGUGGAUAUAUCAGAUUCCUCUCUACUCGGUUACAUAGUUUAUGAGGACCUUGGAGGACAAACAGAAACGUCCUGUCCUUUGGCCGCUUCGUUUCUUGUUUAAAUGUCUGCAUUUGUAAUAGUCACUAUGUCUAGCAACUAUAAUGAACCUCAUAAAUGUCAUUACGCGUGAUGUUUACGCCGUACGAGGACCACGCGGUGUUUACUGACGCGAUGCAAGUAACAUAGUUGAAAAAUCAGUCCCAGCUGCAGAUAUCAAAAAGGAUUUUUAAACGGGAGGCAUUCUAGUUAAAAAGAGGAAGAUGGAGAAUUAUCGAUCCCUUAUCCCGAAGGUGUCCGCCGUAUGCAGAUGUCCCAAAGGUGCACCAGAGAAGGGUCCUGAGAGCAUCGGGGUGGUGGCCGAGCCCUACACCCACAUUGUUGGAGAAGAGCUCCAUCUUCAGGAGCCAGACUGGAGCAGAUACAAGAGCCCUCCAGCAUACGAACACAUGUGAACAUCCUUUAUGAGAUUACAGUCGAACCUCAGAUGCUGCCCAGCACACAGAGAUCAUAUCAUAUAUGGCAGACAUCCACCUUUGUCAUCUCACUGAGGCAAGUUUGUUCUCCUCUGUUAUUGUCAUCAGUGCAUUCUUGCCUUCAGUAAGUGCAUGUAUCGCUCUUAAAAGGGUAGUUCACCCAAAAAAUGAAAAUUCAGUCUUCAUUUGCUCAGUGUUUUUUUUCCAUACAAUGAAAGUCAAGGGUCACUGAAACUUUUUGGUUACCAGCAUUCUUCAUAAUAUCUUGUGUGUUACGCAUAGAACAAAAGUUGUACAGUUUUGGAACAACAUGAGGGUGAGGGCUGAGGGUGCACACAGUAAAUGAUGACAGAAGUUUACAUAAUUGGUUGAACUGUCCCUUUAAGAAAUAAUAAGAAUAAUUCAUUAUCUCUUUCUCCCACCCUUUAUUUUAAAGGCUCUCUCUCAUCAUUGUUACCUGGAGAUUGAAUUGCUUUCGGGAAAGGAUAUAUUAAAUAGUAGCUUUUUAUAAUCCAGGUUUUAGCGAAUGACUAUACCGCAAAAGAACUUGCACCACCUAUUAUCAUUUUAAUACUUCACCACACUCAUUUCAAUCUGGCUGCUGACAAAAUGAUUUCUUAAAGUAGUCUUAGGAAAGAGAAAGUCAUUUAUUCCACAGUUCACCAGCCGAUAACUUCAAAAAGAUAAGGGAGUCACAUAAUGGAGUGAAUUUUAAGGCAUAUUAAGAGAAAUAUGGAGAUGAUGGCCAGCAAAA
rnacentral:lncRNA from 1 species